ACGAGGGCGCAGGCUCCUGAACCGUGUCUCGCAGGUUCGAUUCCUGCCGGGGGCACCA
rnacentral:tRNA from 1 species